rnacentral:rRNA from 1 species
UACCUGGUGCAGCAGGCGCGAAACCUCCACAAUGCACGAAAGUGUGAUGGGGGGAUCCUACGUGCUCAUGUUAUGCAUGGGCUUUUGCCUAGAUUAGACAUCUUGGCGAAUAAGGGGUGGGCAAGACCGGUGCCAGCCGCCGCGGUAACACCGGCGCCCCGAGUGGCAAUCGCGAUUAUUGGGCCUAAAGCGUCCGUAGCCGGACAGGUAAAUCCUCUGUGAAAUCGUCGCGCUCAACGUGACGGCGUGCAGGGGACACUGCUUGUCUCGAGACCGGGAGGAGUCAGAGGUAUGCCGUGGGGACUGGUAAAAUGGGAUAAUCCGCGGUAGACCACCAAUGGCGAAGGCAUCUGACCAGAACGGAUCUGACGGUGAGGGACGAAAGCCAGGGGAGCGAACCGGAUUAGAUACCCGAGUAGUCCUGGCCGUAAACGCUGUGAGCUAGGUGUAUGCUUAUUCUUCAGAGGAUGAUGUCU